UCAUCACGCAGCCUGCAACGCAUCACUUCAGAGGGCAGUCACCGGCGACAUGCUCUGAGGAGAGAAAGGGCUCUGUCGCUUCCGAGGAAGCAAGAAGAGAGGAAUAAGUGAAGGGAGAGAAGGAGAGUGCAUACCAGUAAGAAGCCAGAAGUUGGUGUGAAGCUGGGACUCAAACCAAGAGUGAAGCUAUGUGUGCCUUCAUUGGCAACCUGCAGUGUGCUGA